rnacentral:rRNA from 1 species
AUUGAACGCUGGCGGCAUGCCUUACACAUGCAAAUCGAACGGUAACGGGCCUUCGGGUGCCGACGAGUGGCGAACGGGUGAGUAAUACAUCGGAACGUGCCCGAUCGUGGGGGAUAACGAGGCGAAAGCUUUGCUAAUACCGCAUACGAUCUACGGAUGAAAGCAGGGGACCGCAAGGCCUUGCGCUGACGGAGCGGCCGAUGGCAGAUUAGGUAGUUGGUGGGAUAAAAGCUUACCAAGCCGACGAUCUGUAGCUGGUCUGAGAGGAUGAUCAGCCACACUGGGACUGAGACACGGCCCAGACUCCUACGGGAGGCAGCAGUGGGGAAUUUUGGACAAUGGGCGCAAGACUGAUCCAGCCAUGCCGCGUGCAGGAUGAAGGCCUUCGGGUUGUAAACUGAUUUUGUACGGAACGAAAAGCCUUCUUUUAAUACAGGAGGGUCAUGACGGUACCGUAAGAAUAAGCACCGGCUAACUACGUG